rnacentral:rRNA from 1 species
GUCCACGCCGUAAACGAUGGAUACUAGCUGUUGGGGCGAACUUCAGUGGCUAAGCGAAAGUGAUAAGUAUCCCACCUGGGGAGGUACGUUCGCAAGAAUGAAACUCAAAGGAAUUGACGGGGCCCGGCACAAGCGGUGGAGCAUGUGGUUUAAUUCGAUGAUACGCGAGGAACCUUACCAAGGCUUAAAUGUAGAUUGACCGGUUUGGAACAGACUUUUCGCAAGACAAUUUACAAGGUGCUGCAUGGUUGUCGU